GUGCUUCGGAGCUCAUUAACUGUUUAAUAAUUGUAAACAAAACUGCCAAAGAUUGAGAAAAGAUGUACAGGUUCGUAAGUGUUUACAUAAGUGCUUUCGUGAAUCUGGCCCCCUGGUCCCUAAAGUGUGCGUCUGCUUUUUAUUUAAUGCCAAUGAGGCUAUUCCAUUCCCGUAUUUUCUCUAGUGGGAUUCACUCACAAACGGAGGAGACAUGCACUACGUACAGGAGAACGGUAGACUAUUAGGCCAGAACCUCUGUGACAUUGUGGCUGCACAAGGAAUUACCAAUUUGGAACCACAAAAGCUGCACAUGGUGUACAAUCUGUGCAACUCAGAAUGGCAGGAGGAAGGCAUAGCUUCUCAAGACUUGUUGUGCUGUGUAGAUGGUGUUUACCCUGGGGAUUGUUAAGGUCACCUGCUCCUUAACUCCCACUUGUUGACCGCAGCAGCCCCUUGACACCGCCCGCACCUUUCAUUUCCUACGGUAACUACCUCAAGCUGCAGUUGUUACUCCAGAGUCAACCCACAACCGUAUCCCACAUUUCAAAUCUUGGUUCAUUUAUUCACAGAUCUGCUGGAAAUAGAACUGCGUCUGCUCCCGGUACUGCUGAAAAUCUGUAGUAUGUGUUCUCGCUCUAUGAACACUUAACUGAAAUAGCUAUUCACUAUCAUCACUUGAAAUAAAGUUUUAAUACUUUAUUGUCAAUGGAUACGAACACUCGUCAGUAACUGUUAUCAUCCCACAAUAAUAAAACUGGCCAUGUUAA